rnacentral:rRNA from 1 species
GACGAACGCUGGCGGCGUGGAUUAGGCAUGCAAGUCGAACGGUAUCAUCCUUUCGGGGGUGAGAGAGUGGCGAACUGGUGAGUAACACGUAGGUUAUCUACCCUCAAGACGGGGACAACCCAGGGAAACUUGGGCUAAUACCGGAUGUGAGCAACUUUUAGUUGUUUGAAAGGUGGCGUAAGCUGUCGCUUGGGGAUGAGCCUGCGUCCUAUUAGUUAGUUGGUGAGGUAACGGCUCACCUAGGCAAUGAUAGGUAGGCGGCCUUAACGGGUGGUCGCCCACACUGGGAUUGAGAUACGGCCCAGACUCCUACGGGAGGCAGCAGUCGAGAAUAGUCUACAAUGGUCGGAAGACUGAUAGUGCGACGCCGCGUGAACGAUGAAUCCCUUCGGGGUUAAAGUUCUUUUAUAUGUGAGCAGUGCUUCUUAUAUUAACAGUAUGGGGAGAGAGAUAUUAGCAUAUGAAUAAGCAACGGCUAAACUCCGUGCCAGCAGCCGCGGU